CAGCAGUAGCCGCGGGAAUACAGAGGGUGCGAGCGUUAAUCGGAUUUACUGGGCGUAAAGCGUGUGUAGGUUGUUGUUCAAGUCAGUUGUGAAAUCCCUGGGCUCAACCUGGGAACUGCUUCUGAGACUGAACGACUAGAGUACGGUAGAGGGUGGUGGAAUUUCCUGCGUAGCGGUGAAAUGCGUAGAUAUAGGAAGGAACACCAGUGGUGAAGGCGACCACCUGGGCUCAUACUGACACUGAGGUGCGAAAGCGUGGGGAGCAAACAGGAUUAGAUACCCCUGUAGUCCCUGUCUCUUAUAC
rnacentral:rRNA from 1 species